rnacentral:rRNA from 1 species
CAGCCGCCGCGGUAAUACCGGCGGCCCGAGUGGCGGUCACUAUUAUUGGGCUUAAAGCGUCCGUAGCCGGGUUGGGAAGUCCUCCGGGAAAUCUGGCCGCUUAACGGUCAGAAUGCCGGAGGAUACUCCCAGCCUAGGGAGCGGGAGAGGCCGAGGGGAUUCCCGGAGUAGGGGUGAAAUCCUAUAAUCCCGGGAGGACCACCUGUGGCGAAGGCGCUCGGCUGGAACGCGUCCGACGGUGAGGGACGAAGGCCAGGGGAGCAAACCGGAUUAGAUACCCGGGUAGUCCUGGCUGUAAACGAUGCGGACUUUGUGUCGGACAAGCUAUGAGCUUGUCCGGUGCCGGAGGGAAACCGUUAAGUCCGCCGCCUGGGGAGUACGGCCGCAAGGCUGAAACUUAAAGGAAUCGGCGGG